CGGGGUGUAUCUGGUGUUUCAUUUGCUGAGGCCACAAGGGUUGGCUAAUUUAUAAAAAUAAAUCUAUCUACUUUUACUGGUGUGAAGGUGGAGGAGGAUCCUCAGGUUUUCUUUGGAGUAAAUAGACAAAAUCUUUAGGGUGAUACAGACGACGAAUGUGUAAGGGGUGAAUUUUAUUGCUUACUAGCUUAAGGAUAUGGC
rnacentral:lncRNA from 1 species